CUGACUAGAAUGCGAUCGGUUAACCGAUGUGACAGUUGAUCGGGGGUCGGAUAAUCGAUGCUCUACUGUAUAUACACUUUACAUGUUCUAUAUUUACAAUGCAAUUUAACUUUUAUCUAUUUAAAAUACUGAAAGAUUUAUUAUACUUUUACAGAUUUACUAUUCAAGAAGGCUCUCUCUUUCAUAACCCAACACAGUAUGAAUUCGAUUUUGAUUAGUUAUUACCAUACAUGACAAUUUAUAUGCAUUUUUUCCCCCUUAUUCUACUUGUCAAAACUACAGAUGCAUCUUACGUCCACAAUCAACAGUCAUCACAAGUAGACCCUUCGUGUAUUAUGUAUUAAUAAUAAUAAACAAAUUAUCAUAAGUUGUAUAUCCUUUAUAUGUGAUGCUAUUUCUUGUCGAUUUUGGGGUGCUGAACAUGUAAAUAAUAAUAAAAUUAAUGAUAAGUUACUGUUUUCAAGAUAAAUGUAAAUGUAAACUUACUUUAUUCUUCCUAUGUUAAAUGCACUAUCUUUUGGUUUGUCACCUGUAUUCAACAUCUGUAGUAUCUCUAAUGAGAGUCAUUUGAGAGAAUUGUUAUAUAGACUUCCAACGCACUAAAUUUUUAUAUUUGAUGCUGUAAAGUAUUUUUUCAUAUUUUUUGGUUAUUCGUUUUUUUCAGUUAUCUGACCAACCCUAGUCCCCAAUUGAGUCAGCUAAUCAAUGCUCUACUGUAGAUUAUAAAAUUUUAAGUUCUUAUAUCUCAUUAAGGAAGGCCCAAAUGAAAAUAAACUGGAAAUAAAAUAUUUUUACUUUCAGUUUAAAAUAUUUUUAAAUGUCUUAGAAUUAUUAUAAUUUAAAAUAUUCUUAUUUCAGGAUAAAGAUAAAAUAAACCCUUUUCCACUUCCUUUAGUAAUAUUUGGAUCUAAAUAUGAUAUAUUUCAGAAUAUGGAUCCAGAAAAGAAAAAAGUGAUAUCUCGAUGUCUUAGGUUUGUUGCUCAUAGUAAUGGGGCAAUGCUAUGCUUUGUUAGUACAAAAUCUGAAAAUAUCAUUACAAAAAGUCGUGCAUUAAUAAGUAAUUUAGUGUUUGGUACAUCUGCUAGCAAAACAGUUAUUUCAGAUUAUAAUAAACCAAUUUAUAUACCAUUCGGAGGUGAUUCUUUUAAAUCAAUAGGUAA